GUUGCAAUGCACACACUGUGCAUGAGUAGAGGGGGCAAAUUUGAAAGAGAUGACAAGAAAAAGAUUGCCAGUUUCUUUGGAGUGGGUGUAUGGAAUGUACAAAGAGUUUGGAAGAAAGCAAUGAAGCAAAUUGCUCAAGGCCUGGAGGUGGAUGUUUCAAGUCAGAGAAAAAAGAACUGUGGAAGAAAGCCAAAGGACAUUAAUCUAGAUCAAAUACCUACCAUUCCACUUAACAAGCGGUCUACUAUCAGGUCACUUGCUUGGCAACUCGGUUGCAGCCCUACGACACUCCACCAAAAGUUCAUGCUGAAGUUGAUAAAGAGGCAUACAAACUGUUUGAAGCCAGUUUUGAAGGAAAAGAACAAGAAGGAUAGAAUGGAAUUUUGCUUGUCAAUGCUCGAU
rnacentral:rRNA from 1 species